GAUUAACGCUGGCGGCGUGCAUGAAACAUGCAAGUCGAGCGCGGUGUGAUGCGGGGUAACCCAAUUCACAUCUAGCGGCGAACGGGUGAGUAACACGUGAGCAACCUACCUUCGAGUUGGGGAUAGCCCUGGGAAACCAGGAUUAAUACCCGAUGUGGUCACAACAGGACAUCCUGAUGUGAGUAAAGGCGUAAGCCGCUCGAUGACGGGCUCGCGGCCUAUUAGCUUGUUGGUGGGGUAACGGCCUACCAAGGCGAUGAUGGGUAGCUGGUCUGAG
rnacentral:rRNA from 1 species